GACGAACGCUGGCGGCGUGCCUAAUACAUGCAAGUCGAACGAAGCUUUUUUAACUGGUGCUUGCACCGACUUAAACAACUGAGUGGCGAACGGGUGAGUAACACGUGGGUAACCUGCCCCAAAGCGGGGGAUAACAUUUGGAAACAGAUGCUAAUACCGCAUAACCACAGAAACCACAUGGUUUCUGUGUCAAAGAUGGUUUCGGCUAUCACUUUGGGAUGGACCAGCGGCGUAUUAGCUAGUUGGUAAGGUAAUGGCUUACCAAGGCAAUGAUACGUAGCCGAACUGAGAGGUUGAUCGGCCACAUUGGGACUGAGACACGGCCCAAACUCCUACGGGAGGCAGCAGUAAGGAAUCUUCCACAAUGGACGAAAGUCUGAUGGAGCAACGCCGCGUGAGUGAAGAAGGUUUUCGGAUCGUAAAACUCUGUUGUCAGAGAAGAACGUGUGCGAGAGUAACUGUUCGUGCAGUGACGGUAUCUGGCCAGAAAGCCACGGCUAACUACGUGCCAGCAGCCGCCGUAA
rnacentral:rRNA from 1 species